GUUAGCUUGUUGUUUCAUCUGGGGUCUAAUAAACAGUCUAGUUUGUAGCAAUGAAACAGACAACACCACUAUUCAACUUUUACACACCUGAUCAACGUAUCUUUCUGAAAUGUCUCUUUUAGAACAAAAAUGAAUAGAAAGACUGUGCCUGUCUCCUUAUCAACCUUAAGACGAACUGUUAUAUCCAUUUUGGUGAGCCCUGAACAUCUCUACCUUGCUGACUAUUCCGGACAAAUGCUAAAAUCUUUUGUAAACCAUUUUGGUGAGCUGUAUGGGACAGACCAGAUUGUACGCAAUGUCCACUGUCUGGUCCACCUGGCAGAUGAGGAGAAGAGGCAUGGCUGUCUGGACUCUUUUUCAGCGAACCACCUCGGGAAAAUAAAUAAAAUAAUUAGAAAACCUGAGUUCCCACUAGCUCAGCUCAUUCGGCGCCUUUUCGGAGGUUACAGCUACCAAAUUUGAUGCGGAUGCAGACACUGAAAAAGGAGCAUUUUGUGGGCCCAAUUGUUGUUGGCAUGGGAGUUAAUGCGCAAUAUGGGGAAAUGCGUUGUGAAAGGUGGAUUAACAACAGGGGACAACAUGUUUCUGGUGGGGGAUGAAGUCUGCCUUAUCAAAAACAUUAUCCAAAAUGAUAAUGGUGUGUACGCUAUUUACACUGAAUUUUCCCGGCAGUCUCCAUUCUAUACCUACCCCUUCAACUCCAACAGAAUGAAAAUAUUUGUUGUAAAUGACGCAUCUGACAAGCUGAAGUUGGUUGAGGUGUCAGUGCUGCGACAGAAAUGUGUAGCCUUGCCUUACAGGGAUGGUUUCGUGGCCAUACCUCUCCUCCACUAAAUGGGGGAAAAAAAUCAAUCAGUUCAAUCACUCAGUUUAAACAAUCAGUUCAAGUUAAAAACUCUAAUAUAAUAAUAUAGUUGACUACUGACUUUUGACUAUGACUUCCAUUACUCUGGAUGAAAAUAUGCUGUAAGUAUUUCACAAAAGUUGGUAUUUUUCCAUGUAUACACAAUUCAUGUUUUCAAAAUAUGAGAUGAAAUAUUGUCCCUCAAAAUGCCAUGGGGAAAUAUUUUAUACUGAAUUUAACAUGCAUUGACUUGUCCCACCUUUCUCAAUACCAUUUACCGUACAUAGUCCACUAUAUUAUUAGCAUUAUUCAAUGAUUUUUGUACGUUUAUGAAACAUCACCCCCAACACAUUCUGCCAAAAAAAUGCAAUAGUACUCUACGGUUGAGCUGAAGUUCUACUUGACCAUUAUGACCUGUACUUUUUCCUUCCUUAUACUUCUUCCCACCUUGGGGCCCCAUUCAGGUUAACUUUUAGCCCGUCUUACUUGCUUAUUUGUAUACAUUGUAGGCCUAUACUUGUGCAUGCUUAAGUCCAUGUUAUUCCUUUUUUGAUGAUGAAUAAAUACCCUUUUUCUUUCUUUCUACAUUAAGGAUGCCUUUUCAUCUAAUUGAAUUUCAAGCAAGCGAGGACAUUGCUGUAGUGCCAGUUGACUGGUAUGAUGACGGGAUGGUGUACUGGCCCAGCUUUAAGAGCACUGAACGUGUGAAACGGGCAGCUGCAAACGAGGAGAAGCAAGAUAUGACGUAAAGGUUGUCAGAACUUGUGACAACUACAAAGACGCCAUCAGGCAAAUGAAUCAAUAUGAGACCGACUGCAACACCUCUGAGCUACAGUCUGAGGCAGAGCAGGAGGGUGAGCUGCCAGAGAAACGAGUCAGGAAGCCAAUCCAUCGUUUUGGGGACUCUGAUGAGAGUGAAGAAGAAAAUUGUGACUUAGCUUCUCUGAGGUCGCCACGACCUUCCAACUCGGUUGGUGUAUCAGUUGGAGCCUCAAGCCCAAACCAAUUACACUGGCAGACUCCACCAUCUCGCCGAGUGCCAAGCAGCAGAGUCACUACUCCUCAACCUGGAGGAAACUGUCUAGCACCUGACCAUGGUUUCAGACCCCAACACCCUUCACCACCUCAACUCCCUGCACCUGCAUUUAACAUGAGGGGUGUUUCUCAAGGAACGGCAGUCCCUCCGCAACUCCCUCCACCCCCCGCACCAGCCCUCAACAUGAGGCGAACAAAGGAGCCCUCUUCAAGCCUGGCCUAUAGACCAACAUGGCGAGGGGGAAUAAUGACCGAUACCAUUCCCUGCUCUGCGGCUGAGGUCCACAUCCUUAGCCUGCUGGAGACCAUUAAACAGCAACAAGACCAGCUUGUGGCAAAGGUGAACUACCUCAGCAGCAGGCUGAACAGCAACCCCGGGGCCAGAUGUUGAGAUGCCGGACAAUAUCCAGUUUCCCCUGGAACAAUUGGAGGCAGUGGAGGCAUUUGAAAUGUUUUUAAAGGAACCGUCAAAUGGCCCAGCUCGACAGAGAGUGAUUUCUUCUUUGGCCACCAUUGAAGGUCAGGAUGUGAAGAGGGUGACCUGGAACAUCCUGGCCAGGCUCUUCACGGAUGAGGUGCUGUGAGGAAAAACACAGUGACACUCAGCCACAGACGCAGAGGUCACCAAGCACGUAAUCAGGUGGUUCAACCUGGCAGCGGAUCGGGCAACGAGGAGACGUGUCCCGCCUCUAGCCAGACAAAUGGAGUAAU
ensembl:lncRNA